rnacentral:rRNA from 1 species
GACGAACGCUGGCGGCGUGCUUAACACAUGCAAGUCGAGCGGAAAGGCCCUUUCGGGGGUACUCGAGCGGCGAACGGGUGAGUAACACGUGAGUAAUCUGCCCUGGACUUCGGGAUAGCUUCGGGAAACCGAGAUUAAUACCGGAUAUGACAUUGUCUCGCAUGGGAUGGUGUGGAAAGUUUUUUCGGUUCAGGAUGUGCUCGCGGCCUAUCAGCUUGAUGGUGGGGUAAUGGCCUACCAUGGCUUUGACGGGUAGCCGGCCUGAGAGGGUGACCGGUCACACUGGGACUGAGACACGGCCCAGACUCCUACGGGAGGCAGCAGUGGGGAAUAUUGGACAAUGGGCGGAAGCCUGAUCCAGCAACGCCGCGUGAGGGAUGACGGCCUUCGGGUUGUAAACCUCUUUCAACGGGGAAGAUAAUGACGGUACCCGCAGAAGAAGCCCCGGCUAACUUCGUGCCAGCCGCCGCGGUAAAAC